rnacentral:rRNA from 1 species
UACGUAGGUGGCAAGCGUUGUCCGGAUUUACUGGGCGUAAAGAGCGCGCAGGCGGUCGUUCAAGUCGCGUGUGAAAGCCCCCGGCUCAACUGGGGAGGGUCACGCGAUACUGAUCGACUCGAAGGCAGGAGAGGGUAGUGGAAUUCCCGGUGUAGUGGUGAAAUGCGUAGAUAUCGGGAGGAACACCAGUGGCGAAGGCGGCGGCCUGGGUUGACACUGACGCUGAGGCGCGAAAGCGUGGGGAGCAAACAGG